rnacentral:tRNA from 1 species
GCCGAGGUGGUGAAAUUGGCAGACACGCUAGUUUCAGGAGCUAGUGCUCGCAAGGGCGUAGGGGUUCAAGUCCCCUCCUCGGCACCA